GAUGAACGCUAGCUACAGGCUUAACACAUGCAAGUCGAGGGGUAGCAGGGUAGCAAUACCGCUGACGACCGGCGCACGGGUGAGUAACACGUAUCCAACCUUCCCAUAACUCGGGGAUAGCCUUUCGAAAGAAAGAUUUAAUACCCGAUAGUACUUUUCAAGGCAUCUUGAGAAAGUUAAAGAUUUAUUGGUUAUGGAUGGGGAUGCGUUCCAUUAGAUAGUUGGUGAGGUAACGGCUCACCAAGUCUUCGAUGGAUAGGGGUUCUGAGAGGAAGGUCCCCCACAUUGGUACUGAGACACGGACCAAACUCCUACGGGAGGCAGCAGUGAGGAAUAUUGGUCAAUGGGCGAGAGCCUGAACCAGCCAAGUAGCGUGAAGGAUGAAGGUCCUAUGGAUUGUAAACUUCUUUUAUAGUAGAAUAAAGUGAUCCACGUGUGGAUUUUUGUAUGUAUACUAUGAAUAAGGAUCGGCUAACUCCGUG
rnacentral:rRNA from 1 species